rnacentral:rRNA from 1 species
AGCAGCCGCGGUAAUUCCAGCUCCAAUAGCAUAUAUUAAAGUUGUUGCAGUUAAAAAGCUCGUAGUUGAAUUUCGAGAUCAGUACGCUGGUCGUGCCUUCGGUAUGCACUGGUGUCACUGGUUUCUCCCUUCUGAAGAACCGUCAUGUCAUUAAGUUGGUGUGGCGGGGAAUCAGGACUGUUACUUUGAAAAAAUUAGAGUGUUUAAAGCAGGCUCGCGCUUGAAUACAUUAGCAUGGAAUAAUGAAAUAGGACGUUUGACCCUAUUUUGUUGGUUUCUAGGAUCGACGUAAUGAUUAAUAGGGAUAGUUGGGGGCAUUAGUAUUCAAUUGUCAGAGGUGAAAUUCUUGGAUUUAUUGAAGACUAACUACUGCGAAAGCGUUUGCCUAGGAUGUUUUCAUUAAUCAAGAACGAAAGUUAGGGGAUUGAAGACGAUCAGAUACCGUCGUAGUCUUAACCAUAAACUAUGCCGACUAGGGAUCGGAUGAUGUUAAUUUUUUAAUGUACUCAU